GACGAACGCUGGCGGCGUGCCUAAUACAUGCAAGUAGAACGCUGAAGGAGGAUCUUGCUUCUCUGGAUGAGUUGCGCACGGGUGAGUGUCGCGUAGGUAACCUGCCUGGUAGCGGGGGAUAACUAUUGGAAACGCUAGCUAUUACCGCAUAUGAGUAGAUGUUGCAUGACAUUUGCUUAAAAGGUGCAAUUGCAUAACUAUCAGAUGGACCUGCGUUGUAUUAGCUAGUUGGUGAGGUAACGGCUCACCAAGGCGACGAUACAUAGCCGACCUGAGAGGGUGAUCGGCCACACUGGGACUGAGACACGGCCCAGACUCCUACGGGAGGCAGCAGUAGGGAAUCUUCGGCAAUGGACGGAAGUCUGACCGAGCAACGCCGCGUGAGUGAAGAAGGUUUUCGGAUCGUAAAGCUCUGUUGUAAGAGAAGAACGAGUGUGAGAGUGGAAAGUUCACCCUGUGACGGUAUCUAACCAGAAAGGGACGGCUAACUACGUG
rnacentral:rRNA from 1 species